UUUCGCCAUGGUCGGGCAGGACAGCCGCUCGGUCAUCACCCGGGCGCGCUCGGCCUAUUGGCAGGGGCGCGCGCUCGCCGCGCGCGGCGAUACC
rnacentral:tRNA from 1 species